rnacentral:rRNA from 1 species
GAUUGCCAUUGAUACUGUUUGACUUGAAUAUAGAUGAGGUAGGCGGAAUGUGUAGUGUAUCGGUGAACUGCUUAGAUAUACACAGAACACCGAUUGCGAAGGCAGCUUACUAAUCCAUGAUUGAGGAGAGGCAGGGAAGCGUGGGGAUCAAACAGGAUUAGAUACCCCAGGUAGUACACGCUGUAAACGAUGAUCACUCGCUGUUUGCGAUACACAGUAAGCGGCUAAGCGAAAGCGUUAAGUGAUCCACGUGAGGAGUACGAUCACAAGGUUAAAACUCAAAGGAAUUGACGGGAGCCCGCACAAGCGGAGGAACAUGUGGUUAAAUUCGUUGAUACGCGAGGAUCUUUACCUGGGAUUAAGUGGGGAGUGACAGCUUCUGAAAGGUGGUUUUCUUCGGACACUCUCCAAGGUGCUGCAUGGUUGUCGUCAGCUCGUGCCGUGAGGUGUCGGGUUAAGUCCCAUAACGAGCGCAACCCUUACAUGUUAGUUGCCAGCGGGUAAUGCCGGGGGGUCUAGCGGGACUGCCACCGUAAGGUGAGGGGAAGGUGGGGAAGACGUCAAAUCAGCACGGCCCUUAUGUCCAGGGCUACACAAUUGUUGCAACAACCGGUACAAAAAGCAGGUACACGAGGAAAACCCACAAAUCUCCAAACCCUAUCUCAGUUAGUAUGCAAGUCGGCAACCCGA